GUAGGGGGCGAGCGUUAUCCGGAUUUAUUGGGCGUAAAGCGCACGUAGGUGGCGCUGUAAGUUGGACGUGAAAGCUCUCGGCUCAACUGAGAGAGGUCGUUCAAAACUGCAGGGCUCGAGGUUGGAAGAGGAGAGUGGAAUUCCCGGUGUAGUGGUGGAAUGCGUAGAUAUCGGGAGGAACACCAGUGGCGAAGGCGACUCUCUGGUCCACACCUGACGCUGAGGUGCGAAAGCGUGGGGAGCGAACGGGGGAUUAGAUACCCCGGUAGUCCACGCCGUAAACGAUGGAUACUAGGUGUAGGAGGUUAUUUACCCCCCUUCUGUGCCGAAGCUAACGCGUUAAGUAUCCCGCCUGGGGACUACGAUCGCAAGGUUA
rnacentral:rRNA from 1 species